rnacentral:rRNA from 1 species
UACAGAGGUCUCAAGCGUUGUUCGGAUUCAUUGGGCGUAAAGGGUGUGUAGGUGGCGCGCUAAGUCGGGUGUGAAAUUUCGGACGCUUAACUCCGAAACUGCAUUCGAUACUGGCGUGCUUGAGGACUGGAGAGGAGACUGGAAUUCAUGGUGUAGCAGUGAAAUGCGUAGAGAUCAUGAGGAAGACCAGUGGCGAAGGCGGGUCUCUGGACAGUUCCUGACACUGAGACACGAAGGCCAGGGGAGCAAACGGG